AGAACGAACGCUGGCGGCAGGCUUAACACAUGCAAGUCGAGCGCCCCGCAAGGGGGAGCGGCAGACGGGUGAGUAACGCGUGGGAACGUACCCCCCGGUUCGGAAUAACUCAGGGAAACUUGAGCUAAUACCGGAUACGGCUGGAAGGCGAAAGAUUCAUCGCCGGGGGAUCGGCCCGCGUCCGAUUAGCUAGUUGGUGUGGUAACGGCGCACCAAGGCGACGAUCGGUAGCUGGUCUGAGAGGAUGAUCAGCCACAUUGGGACUGAGACACGGCCCAAACUCCUACGGGAGGCAGCAGUGGGGAAUAUUGGACAAUGGGCGCAAGCCUGAUCCAGCCAUGCCGCGUGAGUGAUGAAGGCCUUAGGGUUGUAAAGCUCUUUCACCCACGACGAUAAUGACGGUAGUGGGAGAAGAACGCCCGGCUAACUUCGUGCCAGCAGCCGC
rnacentral:rRNA from 1 species